GGAACAUGUUAAAAAUUAUGAGUCCAAAGCAGUUCAACUUUAUAAUGAUUUGGAUGAAAUAUGCUGAAAUAUAAUGGAGGUCGAAGAUAAGAGGUCAACCAUGAAGAAGAACAAAACCCCAACCCUUUCCAGAGAGUAAUGAUAAGGGAUAUGGUAAAGGGAAUUAUUUUGGGAAAGUAUAAGACCGUUUUCAUUGUCUAUACAAUAAUUGUCAUGUCGCAUAAUACAGGUAAGGGCAGUAAUACACAAAAUGGUUGUACAAAAUCCUGGCAAUGAAUUAGUCAUUUUUGGAAAUCUAAGAGUUGGUUCAACAUCACUGCAUAUUUAAAGCCUCAUUAUUGUACUUAAAAACAAUACAAUUUAACUUUUCAGCCUCAAACAUCAACCGACUAUACAGUUACGUAAACUUAAAUUGAGCGAAGGAAAUAAAAAAUUAUAUGUACUGGCAGGGAAAACUUAAUUUACAAAGGGAUGACAUGGUAAAUUGAAGUUCACUCAUACUUUUGUGACAGAUUGAGCUGCUAAAAGAAUAAAUACAUAACUGAUCAUUUCUACAUAAAAGACCAGUUAGAUAUUGCCUUAAAAUACGCAUACAACUAAUGAAGGGCCUGUUCAUAAUUUAGGGUAAUUUGGUAAACAAACCCAAAGAAACUGCUGCUGCUGCUUCAGUGACGGGAGUUAUAUUGAAUGUGUUUCAGAAACUCUGGUCCUUUAAGCCAUUGGUUCUCUUAGACUGGCAGUCUGUGUUUUGAUUACACUGUCCAAACUUUCUUGACCUUUGUAUGUCAUCAAGUCAGCCUGACUUUAUGAAAAAAAAAACUCACACACACACACACUCACAAAAGAUGUUCAAAGUCUCAUGAUUUACCCUCUGGCUCUGGGUGGAAUUCCCCGUCAUAAGUCCAGCAGUGCUACGAUGAUGUGUGGGUCGUAUCAACAGUAUAUUGUUGGCAAAUUAUAUUUCUUAAGCGCUGUUGAACUCCCUCUCAAAAUACAGUUUUGCUUUCUGUCUCUAUACUUAAUAAUUUAGAUGUGAACAGUUUACCGAGCUUUCAGAAAUGAGUUUACACUUUUGAUGGAAUUUUACCAAAGUGAAAUUAAUUUAACCUGUGUUUGUGUGUGUGUGUGUGUGUGUGUGUGUGUGUGUGUGUGUGUGUGUGUGUGUGUGUGUGUGUGUGUGUGUGUGUGUGUGUGUGUGUGUGUGUGUGUGUGUGUGUGUGUGUGUGUGUGUGGAGGUGGGGGGGGGGGGGAGACCUCCCAAAACCAACUCAGCCGCCAUCUUUUUGAGUCACCCCCAUCCAUUGAGAGACCCCUGUUUCAUUUGUGUCCGUGUUGGUGGCUGUCUGUUAGCAUGCAGCCGUCGCACUGAGCUGGUAAUGCCAUGGUUUGUAAUGGUUUGUUAGGUGUGGCUGAGGAUCGCACCCGGGGGAGAAGGGACCAUGGGAACGGGGAGAGAUCCGUGGUUGGUCCCAAGCUGACCAGAACAAAGGCCGUGGUCAUGGGUUCAUGUGGAAAAAGUAGAAGAAAAAAAUAAAUAGUAGAAGCAAUGUAACUGCAUCAAUUUAUUUGAGGCAAUUAUAUAUUCAACUCCUAAAAUUAUGGGAUGUAAAAUGAGGCCUGACCUUCUGUCUUGUUUAUCUUUGGCGUUAGAGGGAAAACCAACUAGCUCACCUGCAUGGGGGGAAAACCCUAAGCCUUCCCACCAAGAGGCAAGAGAGCUAACCACUCUACCGCUGCUCAACCAAAUGAUAACCUGCACAUCACAUCAACGUACAACUUUGUGCUCUUUUUUAAACAGCUUCUUUCAGAGGAAAUCAUUAGUUUACUAGGGAUAGGAAGUUACAUUUUCGUUUUAAAGCGGUCACAGCGGUGGAGGAAUAGAGGGACUGCUCGUUGGGUGGUUUGGUCAGUAAUUGUUGCUUUGCAUCUUGGCUUCAGCAGACUGUUUAGUCAGACUUUGAAGCUAAUCCGACUUAAAGAGUUAAUCAUUUACAUGCCGAGACUUUUUCUAUAUGUGGGAGGCUAGAUCAUUGUGUGAGUGCGUGUGUGUGUGUGUGUGUGUGUGUGUGUGUGUGUGUGUGUGUGUGUGUGUGUGUGUGUGUGUGUGUGUGUGUGUGUGUGUGUGUGUGUGUGUGUGUAUGUGUAUGUGUAUGUGUAAUAUAUAUACACAGCCUAGCAGCUGCAUUCCAACCUGAUAGUUUAUUCAGUUUAAUUGAGUUUAGCCACAGCUCUGACGGUGCUCACGUCAACGGAAAUGGUCAGCUGACCAAUUCCUCGUCUUCGCCCACCCCCCCAUAAUGAUCAGAAUGUAAUAUUUACUGCCCCCGCAUCCGCCUAUGGGUGGAAAUGACCUCCUGCUGAGCAAUGACGAAUCCUACACCCAGUUCCGGUGUUGAGCUGGGGGGGGGGGGUGGGGGGGGGGGGGGCUGCUUCCUCAUUUCUUCCCUGCUGACUCACCGCUGAGGCCCGGCCUCCUAGCCUCGGCCUCCGUCCCGUCCCUCACCGGUGUCCGGUGGUUGGGCCGAGUUCCGGGUUCCUGGCGAUUGAUUAGAUAAUGGUGCUUUGGCGAGGAGGCCAGGAUGCCUGUGGUGAACCCAACACAGCCAGAAUUAACCGGUACAGAGACGGAGAGAGGACCAGGAGGAGGAAGAGGAGGAGGAAGGGAAGUGAAUGUAAUCUCCUUAUGAGGCGCUGGUGAAAAUUGGUUAAAGAUGGUAAACAUUCCUGCAAAACCCGUUUGGAAAAUGUGUCUCAGUUGGGGCCAUAUUCGCUGUGUCUUGUGUAUUUCAUUCUGAUGCUAUUUUUAUGGGCCCUUUUGGCUGUGUAUUACUUGAACUUCAUGUGGCCUGUUUUGUUUCGUUUUUUUUCCCCUCGCCUGGUAUCGCCUACGCAUGGGUCUCUAUAGCUCUCUAGCAAAUUGAGUUGAGCUAGUGGUAUUGAUGCUUCGUGGUGGCAUGCGCCCACACAGGUACCGAUGUUUUUGAACCCAGUGGCGCGACAGCCAAGGCACGGUGCAUCCGGUGGAAGGCAAGGAAGAGGAGAGCACGCAGCGGUUGGCCUUGCCAUUAGCAGCAGUAUGCUAUUCUACAGAAGAGGUUUACCACAGGCUCGUCACCAGAGUCUGCCUUUUAAAUGUCUAUCUCACUCCCAGGACGAGAGAAGGGGGAUUCGAGUCGCUUUCAAUGCAUUCUGAUCUGAGUGAGGACGCAGUUCCCCUCUACGCCCAGUCGGGGGCAGUGUUUAUCAGAGACCUGCUGCCCUAACCCGCCAGCCUUUUUAGGAUGCAGGAUUCAUGCCUGGCAGUCUGUGUGCUUGCCUGUGACCACCUACUUGUCCGGCCUCUCUUCCUCACUGCCUGUUCUCUACCUGUCCGCUCGCAUAGUUAUGCACAACUCCCCAUCUGUGUCUGUCUGCCUGUCUCUCUGAGUGUCCCCAUUCCUGGUCACCGACUGUCUGAACACCUGUCUCCUCCUCUGUUCCUGUCUGGCUGCCCAGGUGUCUGGCUUUGCCCUUCUUUUUCAUCCUUCGUUGUCCUUGUCAUGUUGUUUGAAACGUCUGGCUGCAGCGUACUGCUGUGCUGGUUCCCUAUCAGUGUCUGACUGUCUGUCUAGCUCUCUGUCUGACUGUCUGGCUCUUUUCGUCUCUAUCUUCUGCCUAGUUGAAUGUCUAGCUCUCUGUCUGUCCGUCUAGCUCUCUGUCUGUCUGUCUGUCUGUCCGUCCGUCCGACCGGCUGGCAGUGUACCCAUCACCCACCUGGUUGUGCUGUGUGCGCGUCUGGCACCCAGCUGGGUGGGGGCUAGAUAACAAGCCCCCCUGCUGCUCAACCGCUAUCACAGCACCGAGGGAGAGAGAGAGAUAGAGGAGACACCGUCGCUAGGGGAGAGCGGGAGAAGGCCGUCACUAUUACACGAAGAGGGGCCGAUUAGGAGGAAGAGGAGGGUUGAAGAGGAAAAUAAGCGAUGGACAAGUAGACCUUGAGAGAGAUAGAGAGGGAGGGAGAAUGGAUGAUGGAUGAAGAGGAACGGGUUGAAGGAAUCGUCAUUACUAGUCUUUGUAAUGAGAACUACAUAUGAGACAAAAAUGUUUUCCAUUGUGGUUGUUUUAACCUAAUGCACCAAUCAAUUAUGUUUGCCUGCCUCUAUGUGAUCAAUGCUUGCGACUUCUACAUUUGGGAUGAGGAUGUGAUGAGGAGACAGACCAAUGAGGCUGUUAAAAUGGUCCUUAUUUUUGUGCUAUUGAAUUAACACACACAUAAAAACACACACACACACACACACGCACACACACACACACACAUACACACACACAC